rnacentral:rRNA from 1 species
CACGGGGGGAGCAAGCGUUGUUCGGAAUCACUGGGCGUAAAGGGAGUCUAGGCGGUCAGGUAAGUGGGAUGUGAAAGCCCCGGGCUCAACCUGGGAACUGCAUUCAAAACUGACAAGCUAGAGUAUGGCAGAGGGUGGUGGAAUUUCCUGUGUAGCGGUGAAAUGCGUAGAUAUAGGAAGGAACACCAGUGGCGAAGGCGACCACCUGGACUGAUACUGACACUGAGGUGCGAAAGCGUGGGGAGCAAACAGG